CAGGAAGAUGGGCAAGAGGGACUGAAAAGAGUUGGCUAAACUGAAGGGCAUUGUUGGCUCAAAACAAAUGAGUUUAGAUGAGUAAACGUGAAUAAAUAAACUUAGGAUAAAACUUAAGGAAAAAUGAAAGCCUUUGAAAGAGUAACUGUGAAAAUCUGGUGUGGGGACUGUGGAGACAAGGCAGUUCAUCUUUCAUACAGGUGUCUCCCAAGACUCCUUCUUCACAUUUCACGUGCGCAUUUUGAAACCAUUACCAGGAAUGAACAUUUGUACUUUAACAGCCACAGAACGUGUGCUGCCCCACUCUUGAGAGACUGCCUGGUACUGUGUGGAGGGAGUGCUCUAUGUGGUCAAAACCACUUCAAACUGAACUACUUGUUCCUUGGUACCUCCUUGAUAACAGAGCCCUUCCAAGGUGGGAUGAAGGGGAGGACAGAAUGGUGCCAUGGAGGAGUUCCUUGCAAGGGCAAUCCAUUGCCAUGAGACAGGAUGGCCAAACACCUGUUUCAAAGAUACAGACUUUGUGAAACUUCUCC
ensembl:lncRNA